rnacentral:rRNA from 1 species
AGAGGUGGCAAGCGUUGUUCGGAUUUACUGGGCUUAAAGGGCGUGUAGGCGUCCUGAUAAGUCAGAUGUGGAAGCCUUGGGCUUAACCCAAGAAGUGCAUUUGAUACUGUCGGGAUUGAGUCGUACAUGGGAGGGCGGAAUUCCUGGUGUAGCGGUGAAAUGCGUAGAUAUCAGGAGGAAGGCCAGUGGUGAAGACGGCCCUCUGGGUAAUGACUGACGCUGAGGCGCGAAAGCGUGGGGUAGCAAACAGGAUUAGAUACCCUGGUAGUCCACGCCCUAAACGGUGGGUACUAGGUGUGGGUGGCGAUAGUCAUCCGUGCCAAAGGGAAACCAUUAAGUACCCCCGCCUGGGGGAGUACGGCCGCAAGGUUG